GCAAGUCGCAGGGGAAGCCGACCUUCGGGUUGGUGGAGACUGGCGCACGGGUGAGUAACGCGUGGGAAUUUGCCCUGGGGUGGGGGAUAACCGCUGGAAACGGCGGCUAAUACCGCAUACGCCUUGAGAGGGAAAGCUUUCGAGUGCCCUGGGAGGAGCCCGCGUCCGAUUAGCUUGUUGGUGGGGUAAAGGCCUACCAAGGCUGCGAUCGGUAGCUGGUCUGAGAGGAUGAUCAGCCACACUGGGACUGAGACACGGCCCAGACUCCUACGGGAGGCAGCAGUGGGGAAUAUUGGACAAUGGGCGCAAGCCUGAUCCAGCCAUGCCGCGUGAGUGAAGAAGGCCCUAGGGUUGUAAAGCUCUUUCACCCGUGAAGAUGAUGACGGUAGCGGGAGAAGAAGCCCCGGCUAACUCCGUGCCAGCAGCCGCGGUAAUACGGAGGGGGCGAGCGUUGUUCGGAAUUACUGGGCGUAAAGGGCGCGUAGGCGGACUGGCAAGUCAGGGGUGAAAGUCCUGGGCUCAACCUGGGGACUGCCUUUGAAACUGUUGGUCUAGAGUCCGGGAGAGGAUGGCGGAAUUCCCAGUGU
rnacentral:rRNA from 1 species